ensembl:lncRNA novel transcript
AGAGAGGGGCCCCCAUAGCGCAGUGGCGGGCUGAAGGGCUCCUUGAGCAUGGCCAGAGUGGACGCCAAGGCUGAGGAGGCGCCGAGAGCCAGUGAGGGCUGCUAGCAUGUUGUCACCUCUCAAUACAUAAAACUACUGGAGGGUGGUUCCAAGAUGGCCAAAUAGGAACAGCUCCAGUCUACAGCUCCCAGCAUGAGUGAUGCAGAAGACGAAUGAUUUCUGCAUUUCCAACUCAGAGAGCUGACUUUAGAGGGAUCAAGAAUAGCUUGCUGGAUGGAAGGAGCUCUCCCUCCCAUACUCCAAUUGAAGAGACCACAUGUUGACAUGGUGGAACCACCUGAUAGAAGCACCUGAAUCACCACUGGAAGAAUAGCUGUUCUGGAGAGCCCUUCAAAACCUAAAUUGGACUCUGCAUAAGCAAGAAAUCAAUUUUCAAAUAGAAACCUCAGGAGGCCCAAAGUUUCUAUCUGUUCGAAGAAGAAUCUGGAAAUGGCUCUGGAUGCCCCAUCCAUAUCAAUUUUGCAGACCCGUCUGGAGCUCUGUUGCAGUGGAAGAAGCUGCAUAGGAGAAAGGAUGAAUGAGAGGGCUGAACACAAGAACACAGAAGGGACUGAAGCCUCCACUUUUCCCCACCUCUGCCUAUUGCCACAGUAUCUGGAUUAAAACUCUAUGCA